rnacentral:rRNA from 1 species
CUACGUGCCAGCAGCCGCGGUAAUACGUAGGUGGCAAGCGUUGUCCGGAAUUAUUGGGCGUAAAGCGCUCGUAGGCGGUCUGUUAGGUCGGGAGUUAAAUCCGGGGGCUCAACCCCCGUUCGCUCCCGAUACCGGCAGACUUGAGUUUGGUAGGGGAAGGUGGAAUUCCUAGUGUAGCGGUGGAAUGCGCAGAUAUUAGGAAGAACACCAGUGGCGAAGGCGGCCUUCUGGGCCAUAACUGACGCUGAGGAGCGAAAGCUAGGGGAGCAAACAGGAUUAGAUACCCUGGUAGUCCUAGCCGUAAACGAUGGACACUAGGUGUGGGGGAAUAUUUCUUCCGUGCCGCAGCUAACGCAUUAAGUGUCCCGCCUGGGGAGUACGGCCGCAAGGCUAAAACUCAAAGGAAUUGACGGGGGCCCGCACAAGCAGCGGAGCAUGUGGUUUAAUUCGAAGCAACGCGAAGAACCUUACCAGGGCU